UACUUCCUGGGGUGUGCGACAAGAACCCGUAUUUUGAACCUACAUCACAUAAGAGGGACUCUUAAGUUAGAUGAUUUUAAAAUCGGGCCGCAAGCUAAUUCCGUAACGGUCAGGCCGACGGCAGCGGAUGAUUGCGAUAUCACACAAGAUACCCACCUAGCAUAGCUAGGUGUCAAAAUCCGGGGGCGGCAUUUCGGGAGUUA
rnacentral:other from 1 species